CGUGAUUUUUGUCUCCAUUGCUGUUGUCUCUAUCUCAAAUUUCUUUUUUGGUGUCUGAGUUAGGGUUCUUAAAAUUUUUAUUUGCAUUAUAUUUGCGUCUUAUAAUAAUUGAAUAUAGGAUGAAUCUUUGUAUAGCAAAUUACUAUAAGAAGCGGAUUACUAUCAGAUGCAAAUAAAAAGUUCAGGAACCUUAUCUCAGACACCAAAAAUCAAAUCAAGAUAGAGACGACAACAAUGGAAACAAAAAUCAC
rnacentral:pre_miRNA from 1 species